rnacentral:rRNA from 1 species
CCUACGGGAGGCAGCAGUCGAGAAUCAUUCACAAUGGGGGAAACCCUGAUGGUGCGACGCCGCGUGGGGGAAUGAAGGUCUUCGGAUCGUAAAACCCUGUUGUUAGAGAAGAAAGUGCGUGAGAGUAACUGUUCACGUUUCGACGGUAUCUAACCAGAAAGCCACGGCUAACUACGUGCCAGCAGCCGCGGUAAUACGUAGGUGGCAAGCGUUAUCCGGAUUUAUUGGGCGUAAAGGGAACGCAGGCGGUCUUUUAAGUCUGAUGUGAAAGCCUUCGGCUUAACCGGAGUAGUGCAUUGGAAACUGGGAGACGUGAGUGCAGAAGAGGAGAGUGGAACUCCAUGUGUAGCGGUGAAAUGCGUAGAUAUAUGGAAGAACACCAGUGGCGAAAGCGGCUCUCUGGUCUGUAACUGACGCUGAGGUUCGAAAGCGUGGGUAGCAAACAGGAUUAGAUACCCGAGUAGUC